rnacentral:rRNA from 1 species
UACGGGGGGGGCAAGCGUUGUUCGGAAUUACUGGGCGUAAAGCGUGCGCAGGCGGUUCGUCGUGUCCGAUGUGAAAGCCCCGGGCUUAACCUGGGAAUGGCAUUUGAGACUGCAUAGCUAGGGUGCGGAAGAGGGAAGCGGAAUUUCCGGUGUAGCGGUGAAAUGCGUAGAUAUCGGAAGGAACACCAGUGGCGAAAGCGGCUUCCUGGUCCAGCACCGACGUUCAGGCACGAAAGCGUGGGGAGCAAACAGG